UACGUAGGUGACCAGCGUUGUCCGGAUUUAUUGGGCGUAAAGCGCUCGCAGGUGGUUCGUCGCGUCGGUGCGUGAAAGACCCCGGCUCAACUGGGGAGGGUCGUGCGAUACGGGCGGACUGGAGGCCAGUAGGGGGAUGCGGAAUUCCGGGUGUAGUGGUGGAAUGCGUAGAGAUCCGGAGGAACACCAGCGGCGAAGGCGGCAUCCUGGACUGGUCCUGACACUCAUGAGCGAAAGCGUGGGGAGCGAGUCCGG
rnacentral:rRNA from 1 species